rnacentral:rRNA from 1 species
UACGUAGGGUGCAAGCGUUGUCCGGAAUUAUUGGGCGUAAAGAGCUCGUAGGCGGUCUGUCGCGUCGGCUGUGAAAACCCGGGGCUCAACCCCGGGCCUGCAGUCGAUACGGGCAGACUAGAGUGCGGUAGGGGAGACUGGAAUUCCUGGUGUAGCGGUGAAAUGCGCAGAUAUCAGGAGGAACACCGGUGGCGAAGGCGGGUCUCUGGGCCGAUACUGACACUGAGAAGCGAAAGCGUGGGGAGCGAACAGG